GGGGAUAUAGCUCAGUGGUAGAUAGCUUUCCCAGCAAAUACAAGGCCCUGGGCUUAGUUCCCAGUGUCCCCC
rnacentral:tRNA from 1 species